UGUCUAUUGUGUGUCAAAGAAUGUAGUAUGUCUUGCGUUUGUAAACAAGUUACCUGUAUCUGUUUGUGAGAAUGUAAUAUCAAAUUUAGAAGCGAAAACUUAUAAAGAUGUUAAAGUCCUGAGGGCAAGUUUUACAAGUUCUAGCUUAAACAAGCUCAUCUUUGGAAUUUAAGCAAACACAUUUUGUGCUUGGCUUGAUAUAGUUAAUUAGUAUUUGUUAACUCAUUAAGAUACAAAAUUAUUUAUUGCCAAAUUCUCCUGCCCACAAUAAAAAAUGAGGAACUCAUUUCGGAGACAGAUAAAGACCCUUAAAAUGUACUUCAUGUCUAGGAGUAUAAAAAAACAGGGUCUUGCAAUUAACAAACUAAUGGAGAUUGUGAAGAGCUGCAAUGAUGAAGAUAUGAUUAAAUUUCUGAUUGGGGCUGAUAUACCAGGUUUGCUCUGCGACAUAAUGAACAACCACGAUCCUAAGCUUAUUGUAAAAGUAUUUUCCUGCCUUUUGGAGCUUUCAAAUCAUGAGGAAUUCUACCGACAAAAGAAUUCUACAAUAGUCGUAGAAACCACAUGCCGCACAAUCAUGAUAUUGACAAGUGAAGGAAAACAUUUA